rnacentral:lncRNA from 1 species
GACAACUCGGUUGGGAUUGUACGAACGCUCACGGAAGUAAUAAAGAACAACUAUAUAUUUACACUUUUAAUGAAUUUUUCUCAAUUAUGAAUGGAUAAUUUGGAUAAAACACAACCACUAAACUGGAAAAUGGUCGUCCAUAUGCACUGGAAACAGAUUAUUGUGAUAUAAAGGACUGUCUUUUUUUUCAACUUCGUGAUGCAAUUCGGAUAGGUACCCAAUGUCGGAUUCCCUGAGAAUGCCUCAUUACCACAGAGUUAUUGCGUUGAACAGUCGUCCUUGAUCAUUAGUCGAUGGAUAGUGGGUCACAAGAAAUGGAUAUAAACGACUGAAUCUGGUAAAAUAACCAGGUGACCAACAUGACCAAGUGACUGCCAAGCUUUGAAAAUACCUCUUUUUUAAAUGCAGCAAUUGACGUUCAAGUAACAGGAUAACACCUGACUGCCGUAUGUCUUAGUUCAAAGAAGCAGAAUAAAAUGGUUUAAUUUGUAAAUGCUAAUGAUGUAAAAACUACACUCAAGAGACAGACCUGGUGACAGUAAUGCAGGUUCAGGAAGUUGUUCAUACAGUUCAAUAUAAACCUCUUGAGGGAAUCAUUUGAGGAGACUAACCGUCCAGUGUGUUGGUUUAUAACAUGUUUAAACACAGAUAAUAAUGAGAUAUUGGUACACUCAGAAUCAACGUGGAAACUGUUGGUGAGAUGUGUACAUCAUUCAGCUUUGGAAUCCUGGAACUCAUGAAGUGCAAUGUU